CUCAUCGGUAGAGUACUCGGCUUUUAA
rnacentral:tRNA from 1 species